GCUUAUUGCUCUCACCUUCUGCGAGUACAGCACAGUGUUAGAGCAUUGCCAUGGUAACGUGCGGCAAUACUCUGACUUGUCUGCUCAUGGGAGGAGUGUUCUGCCUCCCAGGCCCAGCUCCCUUCCUCCCUCUGCAGCUGCAAAUUGCCUUGGGGCUGGUGAGGGAGAUCUAGGGCCAAGAAGGAAGAUAGCAGAGCCUUCUCUGCAUGAAGCGGGCAGGGGAGAUGAACGGAUCUCCCUGGUCGGCCUCGGCAAAUGGGGAAAGGGACUUUUAUGCGUCCCGAGAAAGUUUCUCGGAAUGCAGGGUCAAAUGGGUGAAAACCGUGAUGAUCCCGGUAAAAUUGGGAUGUCUGGUCACAUUGAUAAUGAGACACAUGGGGGGGAAUAAUGAGACACGGAGAGGGGAGGGGCUGAGUGUAAUUUUUGUACCGAGGCCCUGUGGUUUCUAGCUAUGCCUCUGGUUCUGUAUUUACAUUAUAACAUGAAAACUGAACACAGAAAACAUUAAUAAAUAAACAGUAUGCUGACAACAUCUGUAAAAGAAAAAUAUCAGACCCACAUGAAUAUGCUGCCUUAUGAAUGGAAACAUAUCUUAUUGUGCUUAUGGAUAUACAAGCGUUAUAUAUUAUAGGUUUGCCUAAUUAAACAUUUGGUAUAUACACUUGUACUGAAUGAUACCACCUUAAACAAAUAUUUCCAGUUUUAACUUCUUAACUCCAUUUCUUCCUGUCUGCUCUAGACAGCGUUUGGCGUGGCGGACAGGGUAAGUUACUCUGGGUUACUCCCAGAGCUUUAACCCGUUUGGGAACGUUCUCAUAGUACCCUUAGCCUUGCCUUAUUAGCCGGGGGGCUUUCAGAGCUCCAUAUUCCCCCCCAACUGAUGAUUGCAUUAAUUUAUUUUAAACCUUGUUAUUUAUACAGUACUACGGUUGAUUCAUGGAUUUUUCACUUUUAGACCUGGGAUUACUCCAGUGAAGGGGCCCCUCACUUGAGUUAUACUGACAAUUUCCUUGGAAUCUGUAUAUUUUAGAUACAUUUGAUACAAAUUAUUAUUCUUGUUUUCUUUGGUGACACUGUGCAAUUUUACAAGCCAAUUAAAAUAAUAUGUUAUAUAUUAUUUUACUCACAGCCUAGCUGAGUGUUGUGUCUAAGUUUCUAGUUACAUGUAUAAGGAUACUUUGUAACACUUUUAGAAAUCACGUUGUAUAUUGCAUAAAACAGCU